GACGAACGCUGGCGGCGUGCUUAACACAUGCAAGUCGAACGGGCCCGCCCCUGUUUUUGGGGGUGGGUUGAGUGGCGAACGGGUGAGUAUCACGUGAGUAACCUGCCCCCUGCUCCUGGAUAACUGCUUGAAAGGGCGGCUAAUACGGGGUGUGCCGGCUGGUCCGCAUGGGCCUGGUCGGGAUAGUUUCAUCUUCGGGUGUUUCGGUGGGGGAUGGGCUCGCGGCCUAUCAGCUUGUUGGUGGGGUGAUGGCCCACCAAGGCGGUGACGGGUAGCCGGCCUGAGAGGGUGGGCGGCCACACUGGGACUGAGACACGGCCCAGACUCCUGCGGGAGGCAGCAGUGGGGGGUAUUGCACAAUGGGCGGAAGCCGGAUGCAGCGACGUCGCGUGAGGGAUGGAGGCCGUCGGGUGGUGAACCUCUUUCUCCGGUGGUGAAGGCCCUGUCCGUUGCGGCGGGGUUGACGGUAGCCGGGUAUGAAGCGCCGGCUAACUACGUG
rnacentral:rRNA from 1 species